rnacentral:pre_miRNA from 1 species
UGUGAUGUUAUGUUGGAAUUCGGAAUAAAUUAUUUCCCCAACUCCAGCUAAUAUCACGAA